rnacentral:lncRNA from 1 species
CGAAGAAGAAACAGGAAGGGUCCCUUUUUUCCCCGUUCACCUCCUCCAGCGGCAGGAUGUGAGCCACCGGCAAGGAGGGAUGCCAAUAAGGCAUCUGAUAAGAUAAGUCUUAUAAAAUAUAUAGAUGUAUGAUAAUUGAGACUGAGCUAACAGAUAAGAAUCCUAGUCAUUGGCAAAGCAGCAUUGUACCUAAUACAAGUUUCUGUGUAUUCAUUUGGGCCUAACUCGGGCAGGCGGCUGGCUUAAAGCUCACACGUGGCUGUAGGGCUCAGGCGGCAUUUGGCAGAAAGAUUUAUUGCAGCAUUUCUCCUCUCUCCUCUCCUCCUAGCACUCUGCCCCCAUUCCUGCUUCCCCUCUAUCCAGUCCCCUUCUGAUUUUCCUCAGUCUCCACUACUCAGAAAAAAGCCUGGCACAUCAAGUUAAGGGAGGACCAAGCUCCUCCACUUGCAUCAAGGCUAGGCAAGGCAAUCCAGCAUGAGGAUGAGGGCCUGUUCCCAAAAGCCAGUUAGGCUCCAGGAUCAGGUGCUGGUCUCCCUGCUAGGACCUCUACAAAGUGACCAAGCUACACAAAUGUCACAUACAUGCUGAAGGCCUAGGUUGAGCCUUUGGAAGCUUCCUAUUUAUUAGUCCAGCGUACAUGUGCUCCCACAAGCUCAGACAGCUGCAGAACUACAUUUUAACUUUAGUUCUAAGAUUAAAAACAUAUAAGCCAAAGUGGAAUUAUUUUACUUACUUUUAGCAUUACUACAUUUGGAAGAUGGCAAUAGCCUUUAAAAAUUCCAGACAGAUUCCCAAAGGACAUUGUACUAUCGUGUGUGUGCAUAGAGUAAUCCUUCUUGUUAGCUAAUGCAAGCAAACAUCCUAUGGACUCUGCUAUAGGCUUUGUAGUAGAAGAUUAAAAAUAAUAAAAAUUAAAUUGGGUCUGUCUACUAGUUUUGGUAAAUUGUAGCGAUGGACCUUGUGUUGCUUUUCACUGGGAAUCUACCUUAGGGAUUACAUGAUGGUAUCAAAUAUCCAUAUAUUUGUAGAAAUUCCUCUUCAACAUUAACUGGAACCAUACCCUCAAUUAGUGCCUAUCAUCAAAUUAAGAAGCAAUGCUAGUUUCCACACUUCAGUUCUCAGCUCAAGGCUUUAACUAUUCCUUAUUAGGAGUAUUUAGUAAUCAGAAAACACAUGAUUAGUUCUCUGGUCAAUUUGCUAGGCUCUAGGGUUAGUUUGAUUUGAUUUCAAUGAGUAUGUAAUAGAUGUAGGUCAUUUAAGUCUAAAGAAAACUAUGAAUCUAGUUUAGAAGUAUUACAAUUUGCUGUCACAUGGUCUGUAUUCAUAUUAGUACCUAUAUGUGUAUGUAGAUUUACAUUUUAUUUUAUGUUAUAUAAAAUUGUGAACAUGAUUAAUUCAGAAUUCAUACCAAAUUGUCAAAUUUUGUAAUCAAAGUUUUAAAAAUAUUUAUUACAAGCUUCAAACUCUUUACCAAAAGUCAUUAUAAUAUAUAUGCCCUUAAAACAAAAUCAACAAAAUCUUACUCUUUUUUAAUUAUGCAGUUUUAUAUUAUUAUUUUUAAAUAUUAUUGAUAUGUGUAGCUGUGUGUUAAAAGUAAAUGCAGUUGCGUGCAAUAAAGCUUAUUCCUUUGAUUUUAUUUUGCUUUUAAUAAAGGGUACAAUUGUCUAUUGAUUACAUAUAUUUACUAUAACAUACAAGUCAUUAAGUGAAAGCAAAUAACUUGCUUUUAAAUUGGCUUAUGCCAAUUUCAACAGAAUUACAUCCAUCUACAUAUUAGAGAAGCCUGACAUAUUAUACAUUUAUAGCAAAUAAAUUGUACAUAACAUUGUAUAAUGAUUUUUUUUCCAAAUGAUUUAUCUAUAAUAAUCCAUUUCAUAGGGAAAAAACUCAUUGAACAUAAAAAGCAGAUGCUUGGACUAUCUUUAGGGAAAUGACCAUUUCAUCACAGUUAAAAAGUGUAUUCUUUGGAGGUGUAAAUGGGUAUAAGAUCUCCUUUUAUGUUUUGGACCUUGAUACUAUGAUGUGGUAGGCCACCCUCCCACUGUUAGCCUUAAUAGGAUUAGUUUGGGUAUUAUCAAAAGAACAAUUAACACCUGCUGAUAUAAUCACAGAUGGUAUCAAAGAGUACAAGGAACUAAAUUUGAAGGGACAGUCAUCUAGAAAUUUUAUAUUGAGUGUACUAGUACAUAAAUGACCAAAAAAUUCAUAGGCAAUUUUCUAUGCAACUACUAGUCUACACUAUAGAAAGUGACAGAAAAUUACUAACCUGCCUGAAGAGUUUGGAUCCUGUUUUGUCCUCUAGUCAUAUUAAUUUGUGACUAUGGAUAUAUUAUUUAAAUUCUUUGAGUAUGGCCUUCAUUUUCUAAAAAAAUGAGACAAAUAAUUGCAUGGGUCUCUGAAAUGGUACUUUUAUUGUAUAGAUGGUUUAUGUAAGUGCGAAUAUCCUGCUCUUAUACAAAAAUGUAACUCGAUUUCUAGACUCUUCUUCUUAAUAAUUAUGGUUCUACAAGGAAGUUUAAUCAAUUUACUAAAGAAAUACUUUUCAUCUGAUAAGAGGAUAAUGUAGACAUAUUUAAAAUUACCUCAUUGCAAAGAAAAAUAACAGCUACUUAAAAACUGGGAAAACAUAUUAAUAAAGGAUUCUUAGAAAAUACGACAGAAAUGACCAGCAAAUGUGAAAAAAUAUCCCACUGCUAUCGAAACCACAGUGGUGGAUCACCUCAUUCCUGUUUGGAUAAAUACACUAAAAAUAAUAAUGUUUCACAUGGACAAGAAUGUAGAGAAAAGAGAAAUUCAGACACCAUUAGGCUAGAUAUAAACUAAUCUAAAUGCAGGGUUACCAUGUGACUCUCCCAUUCAUUGUGUGUAUAUUGAAAGACAUGUCAUCUACAUAUGGUCCAUGGAAGUGUUAUAGCAAUCUCCCUGGAAUAAUCACUCUGGUAUAUUUGUGAGUGAACAAAAAGAAAUGUAUUCACUGGUGUACCAAAGACAAGGUAGUUCCUGAAUGGCCUUGGUAUUAAGUCCAGCAUUUAUUCUCAUUUUAUUUUCUAAAACCAUAAUGUAAGAUUUGCAAGCAAGCAAGAUUUUACAGAAGUAUCUAUGGCAGUGAGGUGAGUUCUUUUUUUUUUUUUUAAAGCAUAUUGUAGUUGACAGUUGUAAGGUUUUGUGAUCAGGCUGUUUAAGGCAGUGACCUAUUGUAUUUUAGCUAAUUCUCCAGAGUGAUAUCAUUCUUGAAAAUGAUAAAUAAAUACAUUAAUUUCACUUUUGGAUCUUAUUCUACUCAAAUAUACAAAUUACAUAUAUUAUAAUGUACAUAUAUAUGUUUAUAUGUAUAAUGAAUAUACAUUAUGCACACAUAUACAUUUUAAUACUGUUUUUAGAGACAAAGGGCAUUAUGCUGACUACAAUAAGCUUAGCAGUAAAAGUCUAAUUGUACAAUUUCACUUAAAACCGUCUAAUGAAACAGAUAAGAGAAAUAUACUAACAACGAGGUGGAUGGGCCUAGGAGGAAGAAGAGUGAAGAAAAGAAAAUGGAAGUAAAGUUUCAAUUAGACAGAAUAACUACAGUAAUCUGUGACAUUGAUUGAAGACCACAAUUGAUAAUUAUAUAUCAUAUCCUUCAAAACCACCAAAAUAGAAUUUUAACAUUCUUGACACACACAGGCAUUCACAUACAUGCACACAGACACACAGAUACACAGCAACACUCACACUGAGACAUACAAACAGACAAAAAUACAAAGGCACACAUACUCUUAACACACACAUAAAGACACAUACAGACCCAUAAACACACAAAAAGAUAGACACAUAAACAUAUAAACACACACUCACACACACACACACACACACACACACACACACACACACACAGACACAGAUUCACAGAGACACAUGCACAUACAGACACGCAUAUAAAAACACAAACUCAUAUGGUAAGUUGCCUAGGUUAUAGCAUGCUAAUUAGUUUUCUGAAUUUCGGCAAAGUAUACAUUGCUUAAAACUUCAUAUAACUCUCCAUAAGUCCACACACUUACUUGUCAAUUUGAUCAGAUGUUCCAAAAAGGUGUUCUUCUUGAUGGGUCAAUUGGUACAAUUUUAAAUAAUAAAUUUAAGUUAUUAUGAUUGCUUAUUUUUUAUUUCUUUGGUUUUGAAGUGACAUUUUUCCUUUUUAGGUUACACCCAUUUAAAUAUCAGAGUUCAAAUAUUUAACACUAAAUUUCUGUUUUAAAAUGUUUUUUGCUGAUUUAUUGUGUUAGUUCACUAGCUUACUUGAUUCAGUUUCUUUUUUUUUCUUUUUUUUCUUUUUUUUUUUUUUUUUGGUUUUUUGAGACAGGGUUUCUCUGUAUAGCUUUGGAUCCUAUCCUGACACUUGCUCUGGAGACCAGGCUGGCCUCGAACUCACAGAGAUCCACCUGCCUCUGCCUCCAGAGUUCUGGGAUUAAAUGCUUGGGCCACCAAGGCCCAGCCACUUGAUUAAGUUUCUAAGGUUAUAACAAAAUUUUUUUGUUUGAGUAUAUUACCUCAAACUAAUUUAUGUUUAGGGUCAUGUGAGAAUUAUACAGUAAAUUGGGGAUAUUGGGAAUUUUUCUGAGUUCUGAUAUAUUACUUUGCAUAGACAUUAUUUGUUUGUAUCUUAAUGUUUAUAGAAUUUAACAACAUCAAGUUAAGGAAUAGAAUGGAGAAAAUGGAAUAUUUUUCUACUUUUUAUUUUAUUAUAUAUCUUAUUGAUGAUCAUCUUUGGAAAUGCACAUUUGUUUUGAAAAACCUAAAAGUAAAACCUAUAGAAAUACCAAGUAAAUUGUCUUACUUGGUAUCAGUAAUAUUGUAUACGUUCUUAACAAUAAUCACUCAGUGCAUAUCUACACUAAUAUUAAAAAUAAAGCAUUCGGUAAAGGUAGCUACAAUCUAUAUACAAUUACAAUAAGUAUGACAAUUUUUUCCAAACUGACCAAAUUAAAAAAAAAUGCCAUGACAGGUAGAAUCAAUUCUUUUGGUAAAACAGCUACUAUUGAAGACAGAAAACACUCCAUAAACUUCAAAUGAUCUUGAAGUUCUAAAAUGGAAUAUCAGGUAUAUUUACUGUUAUUAUAUUGAUUAGGUUCUGUCAAAAGUCCAGAAGGAUUCAACAAUAAAUAGAAGUGUUUAUCUAAUGUAAUGAUAUGCAAAAAUUCAAUGAUCUGUACUCUCUUUAGUAUGAUGUGAAUCUCCAAAACACAAUAAAAUCGCCAAAAACAGAGGACAGGAAACAUUAAAAAUACAGAAAAAGAGAAUUACGUGUGAAGAUAGAGAGUAUGCAGAAGCUUUGUGCACUAUUUGUGUAAAUAUUAAAAAUGUAAGUUCAUUGUGGGAUCAAUAUUUCGCUUCUUAAAUAAUUUAAAAUGGGGAUUGUGUAUAAUGCAGUUCCUUACUUCCAGGUAUAGGUAAAAGAUAUCUAAGGAGAUGGCCAUGAAGAAAUGUAUAGCCAUAAUUAAAGCAGCAAGAUUCAUAAUAGUCUAUACAUAACACCAACCCCAGUAUCAUCAAUGAUAAAUGGACAUGCAAAACAACUGUUAAAGAUAAGGGAAAGUAUUCAGUCUUAAAAUAAAAAAAAAAAAAAAAACACUUAAUCCUGCUAUAGCAUGGAUGGAAUUUGUAGAGAGUAUUCUAGUAAAAUAAGCCUGGCAUAAAACAACAAAUAUAUGAUUUCAUCUGCAUAUAGUAGCUAGACUACUCGGAUUCAUAAAACACAAAAGCAGUACCAUGUUUGGCAGAGGCUUGGGAGGGGAAAAAUGAAGAAUCAUGGUUUAAUGAAGAUGGAGAUUUAGCUUUUUAAACCCAAAAGAAUUUUGUAGCCAGAUGGUGACCAUGCUUCCAUAGACAUAUAGUAUCUUUAAUAUUGCUGACAUACACCCUUAAAAUGAUUUAGAGUAAACUUGUUUCUUUUGAUAUAAGCUUAGUUUAAAAUAACCAUCACAUAACCAUAAAGUGAGAGCAUUGCACAUAGUCGUGUACUGUCUGACUCUUGAGAUGAAAACAUUCAAUUAUUCUUGACACUGUUAAGCCUCCCAAAGCACAUCUCCUAGUCUCUAGGAAAACUUUGCAGGACCUAUUUUUGUAGGAUAAUGUGCAUUUAAUUAGAAAAGACUUUAUCUUAGACUACAGGGCAGCAUCUUGUACAGGUGUCUUCAGGUUGGCUUGUACACCAUGAGAACAUCAUUUUGGGAAAGCUAAGCCAGCCUCUUAUAAUGUGUCAGUGGUCCCCACCUUUCCUCCUUCAGUACACCUACCUCACUCUUUUCGUGUCUCCAUCCUUACAUAUCUAAAUAUCUCCUUGUUUUCCUUUUGCUUAGAAUAUAAAUCUUUGGACGAUAGGCAGCAAUGGGAAUGCUGAUAACGUCCAGGGGAAGCUGGAAAAGGGAAGGACAAUAGGUGAACAUUCUAUCCCUCAUCACUGUCUCUUUAGCACUACGAAGUGAUGUCUAAUUUGAAGAGGCAGAUUUCCUAAUCAGCUACGAUAAAAUAUGUUAGAAGUUCGGCGUUCACAAUUAACCAUGGUGCGUGACUUUCCUUGAUUUUCAAUUUGAAAUUUGCUCCUGCAAAUUAUAAUCAGUAUAAAUGGCAAGAACCCUGCCAGAAAAGAUACAUUUAAAUUACUAUCUCUCUAAAAUUCCAAUAAACUAACCUUUUAGUGGAGUGCAUAUAAAACUGUCGCUGAAUUCUGAAAAGUAAUGUCAAAUUUAAUCAACGAAUUGUUCCAAACACUGUUCAAUUUAUUAAGACAUGGAAGUUAUAUGGUUAGCACCUAUCUUAUAUUUUAGAUGCAUCAGAAUCAGAAGGAAAAUAUUCCUUGUUUGCUUGAAUAGAAUGAAAUGGAAAAGUUGCAUGGGGUGUAUGCUUGUAAUCUCAUUACUUGGACAGUUGAGGCAGGAAGAAUUCGAAUUAAGCUAGUCUAGGAAACACAGUGAGGUUUCCUCAAAAUAAAAACAAGGAAAAGAAGGAGGAAAAGGAAGAAGAUGAGGAGAAACAAGGGAGACUUCAGCAGGGACCACAAGAAAUAGAAAGUUUAUAAGAAUUUUUAAGAGUAUUCUUCCAGAUCUUUGGAAAAUAAUAUUUCAAAUUAAAUAGUACUAUAUUUAACUACUAUUUAGUCCAUUCCUCCUGAAUGUUUACAUAUUGUAUGAAUUUAUAGAAUUAAGAAAAUAAUUUUAAAAAUAACAUUCAACAUUUUUCAACUCAGAGAUUACCAGAAAUACAGAAACAAAAUAUAAUCUAUGAUGUAACAAAAACACUAAUAAAUUUAAUACAACCCAGAAAUGAGAAAGUAAUGAUUAACAGGUAUAAAGUCUUUGUAACUGAAUGCCACAUGUCUAAAAUGUCAACAAGAAUAUAGAACAUGUACACAAUUCAAGCUUCCAGGGAUAAAGACUAAAGCAUUUAGUUGAAAUGCAUGAACUUGAUUAGUCUAAUGAUAAGCAACGAAAGAACUAGAAGAAAAUAUCAUUGGACUUGAAGAUAUAAUAGAAGCUAUGUCAAAUAAAUAACAGAAUGUUUUUUAAUUAGGUGAAAGAACUUUACAGAUCUAUGUGACAAUUCAAAUGGUAUAGCUACAUACAUGAAUAUGAAAAACUAUAUGAACAAUUAUAUUAUCAAAUUCAUUAAAGGAAGUAAAUCAUAUGAGAUGAUGGAUUUGAAAAAGAGGGCAUGAAACAGAGAGACAAAUAUGUGGCUGACAUUUGACAUCUCCAAAGCAUCAAAAAAUGUUAUUUGCAGAGCUGGGACCUUAUACAUAGUAAAAUUAUCAUUUUAAAAAUACAAGGUUGAUCAAGUAAAGAGAUUUUUAAGAAAUACAAAACCUGAAAUAAUUCAUCAUCAACACACCAAUGACUCCUAAAGGGGAUAUGCAUGAUGGUAGCCCAAACCCACAACCUUAGCUCUUUGAAGGCUAGGCUACACAGCCUGAAUUUAAUACAGUGAAUAGUUACAUGAAGAUACUGUAGUGAUGACAUUUAAGUUAAUUUUCUACAGUGGUACUUGCAUAUACAUUGGAUUCUAUGAGCUCUUUGUAGAGGUUUCUGUGUGCUCUAUAAUUAAAUUAUGAAGAUUUUAGUCUACUCUGUGGCUUAAGCUAAGCUAGAUGCAACUGAAGGGAAAGUAGGAACUAGAGCUAGUUAUUUAUUUACCGAUGAUGAACUGAAAUCCAUGAAGUGUGUAUAGUGCAUAUUCAAGCAUUAUAAAAUAAUCCUGCAAAACAAUAGUAGUAUGGUACCAGACAGCAAAUGAAAUAGUGUGGCUAUUAUAUACUGAACAUCAAGUUUAGUUUUAUCUAAAGUUGUGUUAAUAGAGGUGGAGAAAUGGAAAGGAACAGAAAACAAAUCAAAAUGAAAAAGCUUGAAAAAUGUUUAACUUUAAACUUUUUCAACAACUUCACAGUUACAAAGAUUGUAGUGAAAACAAAACAAUUAAAUCCACAAUUUCCCUUUAAUGUUAAAUUAACAUUUAAAAAUGAGGGAAAUAGUUUUGUCAAUUUAAAAAUAAAAUCCAUAAGAAUUAAUAUUAUAGCAUAUUAGAUAAUACUAAAAUAUAUACAGGUACUUAUUUAAUGAAUGUGUUAAGAUAUAAAUUCAACCAAUAAAUUCUUUUUAAAGAUAAUUUAAGUGAGUGUGUGUGUGUGUGUGUGUGUGUGUGUGUGUGUGUGUGUGUGUGUGCCUGCAUGAGUUGUAUACCAUGUACAUACAGAUGCUAGCUCCACCCAGAAGAGGGUAUUAUAUUCCAUGUAGCUGGAAUUAUAGAAAGAUGAGAAACACCAAAUCAGUGUAUUAGGAACUAAACCCAGUCCUCUGUGAGACUCUCAAACAGCUCAAUUCAUUGUAAGUUGAAGUAAAAUGAAGAACAAAAUUUAUGUUUUUGAUGUUUCAGUUCAUUGAAAGAAAUAUCACAAGAAAAUCGCAUCUUAAAUCGUUCUUACAUAUACUUCAGUGUAACUAACUUAAUAAGAAAAAAUAUAAUGUUCACACAAGUUAGUGUGAUCCAAUGUAUUCACUGUGAAGCACACACUGUUCAAAAUGUCACCCUAACUGACUGCUGAGAGAAUACCCAUUUCUGUUUAUGUCAGAGGCAACAACCAUCCAGAAAAAUGAUUUUAAGUAUAUCAUAACUAUCACAAAGUGUGCUAAUUUAUUUUCAGUUUUCAUACUUGGAGAGAAUUGCUAACCACUCUAUAAAAGGAUUAAACAUCAUGUCACUUGAAAAUGUUACAUUGAUAGAAAUAGAAUUCAGAUGUAUGUAGCAUUUAAGGAUACCUUCUGAAACAUUUAGUUCAAAUCUGUAGACCAAUCCCACUUACUAAGGUCCCUAGUGUUACAGAUGAAGGGUCAGCUGAAUUACAAUCCUCUUGGGAAGAUUAAUACUAUCUCCAAAGUGUUACGUAAGUAAUGGGUAUGUAGCUUAGUGACAGAGUACUUGCAUAGUACCUGCAUGGCCCUGGGUACUACUCCCAGCAUCUCAAAAUAAUGUGUUGUCUUAAGUUUAAUUGUAAUUUCCUUGAGCCUUAUCCACACUCUAUAGAUUUUUAUUGAUAUUUAUAAGCUAACAGUAUCCUUUAUUAGAAUAAGAACAAACAUAUCAAAACAUCAAUUAUAAAGGAAGCAUAAACUUCUUUAUUCUCAACUGUUAUGCUCUUCCUUUGACUGAUUAGAAAGUUUUGGAAAGUUCUUGUAAAUAUUUAAAGGGAUUGCUUAAACCUAGCUUCCAAGAGUAAGUCUCCCUAUAUGUGGAGGCAGAACAGACACUUCAGUCCAUAAGAGACAAGACUGCUAUGACUGCUGCAAAGCAGGACACUGGGCUGGUCUGAACAGGAUGCUGGAAUACUUGAACACACACAGCUUGGAAGUGAUUGUUCUCCAAGUGAAAGUUGAUUAACAAUGCAACCCCCCUACCACCACAGCCACUUACCCUUGCUCUCUGAGACAAUGUCCACAUUGUGUUGUAAAUUGCUGAAAUCCUGGGCCUAUUGCUCCUUCCUCAUCCUCCUUCCUAAGAAAGUGGUAUUUCUCCACCAGCUAUUGGCCACACCCACUCUUGAUAGGCCCCAACAGCCUUGGACUAGCAAAGCCUACAAUUGAUAGUAAUUUGGACAGGCACAAAUUUGAGAACUGCUGCUUCCAAGCAGGGAACAAAAGAGGAAUAAGCUAAAGUGAGUAGGAUUCUAGAUCAAGAAUUUCAGUGUCACAAAUACUAGCUAGGAACUUGUAAGAGAGCUGGAGGGUGAGUCUCAGUCAGUAAAGCUGUUGAUCUGCAAACAGGACUUCAGCUCAGUCCCAAAAGCCCACAUAGAAUGAUGGGCAUGGAGGUGUGCUUAUCUUCACAGUACAAGUGAGGUACACAAAAGUGAAUCCCUGAUGCUUCCUGCACAGUCAUCGUAGGCUUCCUGGUGAGUUGAGGACAGUGAGAGACCAUAUCUCAUAAUACAAAUAAAUGGAGGCAGUAUCUCUAGAAAAAGACAAAAUGUUGACCUCUGCCUCCACAGAAGUGUACACACACAAAGGAAUCUAUGUACAACAUCCAGACACACUUCUGCCCACAAAGGAACUCUUGAGGAAGUAUAAGAUCAGAUAUCAUCUUUCUUUACCUUUUUCCUAUUUACAAAAUGUAGAUAUGAUGUAUGUAUGUAUUGUUGAAGUUAUUUGGGGUAUACAAAUAAUCGUGAUGUUAUUUUAAUAACAUACUCUGGUAGGUACAAAAUCAUGGCUGUCAAAAGUCAGCUGUUAUGAACAGCAGUAUCUAGAACCAGUAGUUUUCUUAAAUAAGAAAAUAAUUGUGUUGCAUAAACAGUUAACCUUCCCUAAGGAUUCAGUCAAGUUCUCUAUCUCCAGUUCUUUCAGAUCUGUCCUCAAACAGCAAACAUUUGGAAGGUGACUGACACAUCAGUAGGAUGGCAAAUAAUUGAUUCCUUUGUUUAAUUUCUCCAUGUUAAAAUGUUAGCCAUACCUAAGUAAACUCAUCACAAACAUUUCGUGCAAGACCUUUUAAGACUCCAGCUGAAGUGAUGAAAAUAGUGGCAAGAAAAUCUACACAAAGUGAGUUUAGACCAAAACAGUUAAGUGUGUAUGUAUUGCAUCUCAGAGAAUGAGAAGAAGGAUGUUUGAAAUUGUAAGCAUUUAGAGAAAACUGACUCCUGAAGGGAACUUAUUUAUUAAGGGUACACAUUUAUGUUUAAGACUAUCCUAAAGUGUGUUUCUGAAUAGUUUUCUGUUCCCCAGGAGCCCAUAUUUAAAAUGUCUGUGCACUUUAGAUGCUCUAUUAUUUAGACCUAGUUGAAACACAUCCUGUUUUCCUCUUGAAUUUCUUUAAGUCACACUGCGGGCUGUUAAAGCCUCAGUGUAACUCCCUGGGCAGAGAGAGGGGACUUGGAGCUAGAGUUUUCCAAAGGAGCUGUCAUGAUCUGUUGACUCAAUGAUCCGUUAAUGACACCUGAAGGCACACAGCAGAGGCUACCCAGCUUGGAGCUGCUCAGAGAUGGCUGCUGAGGAUACAGGUGCACUGCAAGGAACACCCAAAUCAUCCAUUAAGAUUGCUUUUAUUAGUGGCUUCUGCUUACAAAACAGGGCUCUGGGGGAGCAUGAUUCAGUGUAGCAAAACCCCAACAGCUCAGAAGAGUCACACUGCUAAGGACCAGCUGAAUCUUGUUAUUAAAAGAAAAGAAAGGAAAGAAUAUCGCUGUUUUGACUUUCACAGGUUCAUAUAUCGUGUUUUAAGAACAAUGGUUUCCCCCAUCCACCCUCACUGCUUAUUCUAACCAUAAAAUGUGUUAAAGAAAAUCACUUCUUGGUCUCUUCUCAUAGUAAACUAAGAUAAAUUUUGGUUUGCUGAAAAAGUCAUCGAUACAUAGGCAUAGCUCUAAAAAGAUUAACAAGCUGUCAAUGCAAGCAGUGGUAAUGAGAGAUAAAUUAAAAUGAGAGAUAAAAUAAAAAAUCUUUUAAUUCAGUUGAUAGAGCUCUAUUCAGCUCACAAGGGACAUGGUGCUUAUAUACACUUCUGCCCUAGCUUUAUAAGAGGUUAAACAAAACAGAAUGCUUUUAUCAGUCAUCUAAGGGCUUUAAAAUAAUAUUUCACUCUUAUUUUAGUUGAAGAAUAAUGCUAAUAUAUGCUCAACCAUUCUAACUCAACCUAGGAUUGUGUUUAUGGAAUUGCUCUCCCUGGAAGUGUUGUUAUGUUUGUCUAUUGGAGAACAUUCUUUGUCGCUUCCUUUGGACAAACACUGAUUAAAGUUUACCAGACUAAAGCAACAUGUAAUAGUUAUUUCUUUUUUAAAUUCUGUUUUAAUUUUUUACUAUUUUUACAUUCCAAACCCAGUAUUUCCCCCCACCUCUUAUUCUCCCUCCUCCCUACCUCCUCCCAUUCCAUGUCCUCAUCUACUUCUCAGAGAUGAUAAUGCCUCCCUUGGGGAGUCACUAAAGACUGGGAUACCAAGUUGAAGCAGGACCAAGCCCCUCCCCACGAAUCAAACUGAACAAUUUAUUCCAUUACAAGAUUUGUUUAUCCUGUAUACAAUGUUCUGCCUGCAUGCCAGAAGAAGUCAUCAGAUCUCAUUACAGAUGGUUGUGACCCACAAUGUGGUUGCUGGGAAUCAAACUCAGGACUUGGGGAAGAGUAGCCAGUGCCCUUGACUUCUAUGCCAUCUCUUCAUACCUACCACUGAGAUUUUAACUAUUUUCCCUUCCUGGUGCCCUCCAUUUAUUUCUCUCUUAGGGUCCUCAUUUUUACCUAGAUCUCCCACGUUCUUGGAGAACUAAGAUCAACAUACUAAAAUGCAAUCUACAGGUUCAAUGAAAUCUCCAUCAAAAUUCCAGCACAAUUCUUCACAGACCUCUAACAAACAAUGUUCAACUUCAUAUGGAAAAACAAACAAAAAAAAAAAAAAACAGGAUAACCAAAACAAUAUAAUAAAGGAACUUCUCGAGGCAUCACCAUCACUGACUUCAAACUCUACAAUAGAGCUAUAGUAAUGAAAACAGCUUGCUAUUGGCGUAAAAACAGACACGUGGAUCAAUAGAAUUAAAUUGAAGACCCCGACAUUAGUCGACAUACCUAUCAUACCUAUGAACACCCAGUUUUUGACAAAGAAGCCAAAGCUGUACAAUGGAAAAAAAAACCAUCUUUAACAAAUGGUACUGGCAUAACUGGAAGUCCACCUGAAGAAGAAUGCUUGUUAUUUCUUAUACACAUCGGCUUGGCAUUUUACCAUUCCUUAUUCCCUGCCUGAAUUGCUCUUGCUCAUUUAAAAUUACAUGGACUGUCGAUGUAAUUUUAUUAAGUUGCAUGUGGGAAUCUCCUAACAAACUAAAAUGAAUUUAUACCAUAGAUUUAAUUUAGUUUAUUAAAGAGAGACCAACUAAGAUGGUGAAACUUAAUUGACCCAGUAUUUAUAGAACCAAAAGAUGUCUAGGUGUUGAAGUGGUGAUGACAGAAUAAAGGAUGCACUCCAAAACAGGAACUCUGACCAGAUAAAGCAUUCUACAAGUUAACAUGGAAUGUUUGCUCCUGGUGUAUAAAUAAAAGUAGAUAGCAUCUCAAGAGAAGUUGCUUAUUCCAGGAGAAUGAAAUAAUGCACAAUUUGUAGGGUCCACUGCUGAUUUCGCAGAAUAACACACUGUAGGGACACACAGUCAUCAUUUUGCUUAUUUCUUAUCCAUCUGUCAAGGUCAAUUUCCAUGCACUCUCCACUGAAGUCUUUAUAUGCCCCCAGCUGGAAGUCAUUUCUUCAGCCAAGGAGAGCUGGUAGCACAUGUAAUAUGUUUCAAUAUGAAGUUGGUGAGUGAAUAAUUGUAUUCUGCCACUCUGGGGGCAUAUCACUCCUUGAGCAGAAAUGGCUAAUUAAGAACAUAAUUAAAUUUUAAAUUAUAGCUGGAGAAAUUACACUGCAUAAGAGAGAUAAAUUAAGAUACAUAAUGGUGCAGUUACCAGGUAUAUGUUCUUAAAAUGAGUAAAUGUGCUGUGAGAAAUAAUUGAUUUACAAAGUAUGCUUCCUUUCGACUUUAUAUUCCUCUUUUAAUCCUGAUGCUCUUUCUUUAGACUCCACAUAGUGCAGUAUUGUCUCUGCAAACACUUUUCAUGCUGCUAUUGUUCAGCAGAACUGGAACAUCAUCUCUAAAAUUGCCAUUUGAUCACUAUCCUCAUCAGACCAUGCAUUGCCUCUCUCAAAUGAAAGCAUGGGACUUUAUGGAUUCUAAGGAAGAGUUUUGUGACUUUCCAUGCAAUUAUUCCCAUGUAGAAAAAUGUAACAUUACUUUUAAAUUGGCUGAGCAUGUUGUAUGUUUUUAUCUUGUAGAAUAUGAUGCUUUGAACUGCAUGCAUAUUACAGAGUAGAUACAUACAGCCUAUUUAUGUAUUUAUUCUCACUGUUACAAAUUUUUUAUCAGAAUACCUAAUGCUCACUUUGAAUUUCCUUCCCCCAAAACACCACACUUUGUCAUCUCUAGCUCUGGUCAACUUUCUUCAUAAUGAAUGUCUUGAACUCUUUUCUUCUUAGUGUAGAAUGAUGCUGAACUGAAUAUAAGGCAUUUUCUGUGUCUAUUGACAUGGCUAUAUUAUUCUUACUCUUUAUCUGUUAAUGUGAUAUAUCUUAAGAAUUGACUUGCCUAUGUUGAAGUCUGCUGUAAUCCUUGAAAUAAAACCUACAUGUUAAUGGUUAAUGACUUCCAUGAUAUUCUUUCACAUUUGAUUUUCUUCCAUUGUGUCAAGAAUUUUUAAAUCUAUGUUCACACUUAUGUUGGUUUAUAACUUAUUGAUUUGUUACAUCUUUGUCUUAUUUUGGUAACAAACUGUUCUGUCUUCACAAAAGAAGUCUUUCACACUCCUCUCACCAGAACCUGUCCCUUUUGUCUUGUGGAAGUUUGAAAAUUGUUAUUACAAUUUUGCUAAAGAUGACUGGAGUGAUGGCUCCUUUUCUGAUCUUCCAGAGGAUGUCACAUGUCAGGUCACAAGGGUGUGUUACUCUAGUCCCAGUGUACCUGAUACACUCUACUGGUCAUUUUGGUCACUGAACAUAUGUGGUGUCCAUUACAUAUGCAGCCAAAACACCCAUACACAUAAAAUAAAAUGAAUAAAAUUUUGUUAAAAUUCAACACAUAGUCAUUCAGGUGGGGCUUUUCUUCAAUGGAUAAUGUUAUUUUUUGUACUCAAUCUCAUUGUUAUAGGUCUGUCCUGAUUGGUAUGUGUUCCCAUAUUCAGUGUUGGCAGUCAUAUCUUUCCUUUCUGAAAAGUUAUCCAUUUCACCUAAGUUCUUCAGUUUGUUUAACUGUGAUAAUGUAGAUUUUCAUAAUGCUAAUCCAUAGAAGUCAUUUAUUUUCACUCACAACACAAUACCUUGUGAAUGUUAGAUAAAUAUUCUACUGUUUACGUAGAAUCCCUAAGAAUUCUACUCAUUAUUUGUAAUUCUACUGAUUGGUUAUAGAUUGCUAUUUUCUUUGAUUUUAUUUAUUUUGGCAAUGUCUAUUUGUUUUCAGUCCAAUAUUUAAUCUUAUCAUUUCAAAUAGCCUACACUUUGUUGCAUCAGUUGCUCAAUAUUUCAUUUAUGUUUUCUCUGGUAUCUGUUAUUUCUUUCAUUUUUGACAUGUUUGGUUUCUUCUUAUUUUCUAAGUCCUUGAAAUGAACAAUUAGGUCAUUUGAGAUUAUCAUAUUUUCUUUAUUUGUAGGCAUUUUUUCUGGUAAGCUUUUAGUCAACUUGACACAAACUAUAGUCACCUGGAGGAAAGAUAUAUAAAUGGAGUAAUUGCCUUCUUCAGAUUGGACUGUGAUUAUUCCUGUGUGGCUUUUUAUCUAUUAAUGUGG